UCUGAAAGAGAUUAAAGAUUUAUCGGUGAUGGAUGGGGAUGCGUCUGAUUAGCUUGUUGGCGGGGUAACGGCCCACCAAGGCAACGAUCAGUAGGGGUUCUGAGAGGAAGGUCCCCCACAUUGGAACUGAGACACGGUCCAAACUCCUACGGGAGGCAGCAGUGAGGAAUAUUGGUCAAUGGGCGAGAGCCUGAACCAGCCAAGUAGCGUGCAGGAUGACGGCCCUAUGGGUUGUAAACUGCUUUAAUAAGGGAAUAAAGUGAGUCUCGUGAGACUUUUUGCAUGUACCUUAUGAAUAAGGACCGGCUAAUUCCGUGCCAGCAGCCGCGGUAAUACGGAAGGUCCGGGCGUUAUCCGGAUUUAUUGGGUUUAAAGGGAGCGUAGGCCGGAGAUUAAGCGUGUUGUGAAAUGUAGAUGCUCAACAUCUGCACUGCAGCGCGAACUGGUUUCCUUGAGUACGCACAAAGUGGGCGGAAUUCGUGGUGUAGCGGUGAAAUGCUUAGAUAUCACGAAGAACUCCGAUUGCGAAGGCAGCUCACUGGAGCGCAACUGACGCUGAAGCUCGAAAGUGCGGGUAUCGAACAGGAUUAGAUACCCUGGUAGUCCGCACGGUAAACGAUGGAUGCCCGCUGUUGGUCUGAAUAGGUCAGCGGCCAAGCGAAAGCAUUAAGCAUCCCACCUGGGGAGUA
rnacentral:rRNA from 1 species